rnacentral:lncRNA from 1 species
GUGAAAGCUGAAGAAACCCUUUCCUCCCCAACUUGGUUCUUGGUCAUGAUUUUUUUCUCCAGGAAUAGAAACCCUGACUAACACCUCCUCAUCCGACUUCACUCUCCUAUUCCGGUCUGCACUGACUGCUCUCAACACUUCAUGUAAGCAAAUGCAAAGAAUAUUUGCCUUUCUUCCAGCUGGCUUGCUGACUUCAUACAACGUCCACAAAAUUCAAUCUGCUUUCUCGUAACACCUUUACGGGUUGCUAUGAUAAGGUAUCUGGUAAAAGCACCUGAAAACACAAAGGUGUAUUUUGGCUCACUUUUCAUGAAUAGAAUUUUUCAGGGUGGAGAAGGCAGGUUGGUUAUAUUAUUUAUUUACAUUUCAAAUGUUAUUCCCCCUCCCAGUUUCCGCUCCGCAAAUCCCCUAGCCAUGUUCCCUCCCCAAGGCUUCUAUGAUGGUGCUUCCCCACCCACCCACACACUCCUGCCUCCCUGCCCUAGCAUUCACCUAAGCUGGGGCACUGACCCUCUGCAGGACCAAGGGACUCUUCUCCCAUUGAGAAGGCCAUCCUCUGUUACAUAUGCAACUGAAGCUAUGAGUCUCUCCAUGUCUACUCUUUGGUUGGUGGCUUAGUCCCUGGGAGCUCUGGGGCACGGGGUUUCUGAUUGGUUGAUAUUAUUGUUCUUCCUACGGGGUUGCAAACACCUUCAGGUCCUUCAGUCCUUGCCCUAACUCCACUGGGAUCCCCGGCCUCAGUCCGAUAUUUGGCUGUGAGUAUUCACAUCUGUAUUGGUCAAGCUCUAACAGAGCCUCUCAGAGGACAGCUGUAUCAGAUUCCUGUCUGCAAAACACUUCUUGGCAUCAGCAAUAGUGUCUGAGGUUUGGUGUCUCUAGAUGGGAUGAAUCCCUAGGUGGGGCAGACUCUGAAUAGCCUUUCCUUCAGUCUCUGCUCCACUCUUUGUCCCUGAAUUUCCUUUUAACAUGAGCAAUUCUGGGUUAAUAUUUUUGAGAUGGGUGGGUGGCCCCAUCUUCAUUCCCCUUCUACCUUUUCUCUUUACUGUGCCUAUUUUCUACACAGGUUGAAUUAGUUGCAUAUUUCCUUCACUUUCUUCUUCUCUUGUCUAUUUCUUUGUGAUGUUUUACUAUGGAGAGUGUUUGACAGCAAUCUUUGUCUCUCAGCUCAGAUCUGUUGUGACCUCUUCAGAUUCCUGUUAAAAUCCUAAAGCCAUCUCUAACCAAGUAGUUUUACUGUGCUUCUCCACAGAAUUCUGGGAGUCCUUUACAGAUUUUUUUUUUCUCUAUGGCAUUUCGACUUUCUAUCUUGCACAAGAGUUAUUUAUGGGUCCUAAAUGUAAUAGCCUGCAACCUGCUACUUGAGAGCAGAAUAUGCUUGUCUCCUUAUCAUUUCCUCUCUUCUAGAAUAUUGUAGAAUACCAUUCACGUGCUCAGCAGUCCCUCAAGUGCUUUGUUGCAGGGACUAAAUAAGCAAAUAAAAUAGCGUUGGCGUAGGGAAUGGGGAAGUUCUUCGUGAUUUUUUUACAGUUGGUGAUGUAUGUAUAUUUGAGAGGCAAGAUGAGAUCAAGUAGAAAUUAUAUUUGAGCCUGAAAGCCAUAUAACUUUUAGGCAAAGUACCUGCAAUUGUUCUGAGCAUCCAACCGAGUCAUGCAAGGAAACCAUAAUAUUUGCUUCUACACUUGAUCUUGUCCAAAGACUGAGAAGUGCUUGUUUCUGAAAUAAAUCAUUGAGGAAUGACUAGCAGUAAUAACCAUAGAACUAUUCUUCCUCAGAGCAAGUUAUUGAUGGGUGAGCAGUCUGUUGUUAUAAAAAUGUCAUUAUAUUAAAAACUCAAAAAGAAAAACCAGCAGCAUUCAUAUGCAGCUAAAAGGUAUUUUAUGCCGACUGUCCAAAUUAUAACUCCAUUUUAUUUCUAGGGUAGAUAAAAUUAAAGGGAAAAUUUGUUGAGUCUUGUUUUUGUUGGUAGUUUCAAAAGGAUGCAUUACAUGGAACACAGUUAACAUUUUUCGCUUUACAAAAUAUGUUUGUAUAUUUACGCCCCAAUGAAAAAUAACACGUUAAUUAACAUAACAAAAAACUUCUUCAAAAUAUAUAAUUUUUUGUCUAGAGACAAAGAAUAGGGACUGCUAGGCAAAUAGUUUGCUAAAUUAUAACCUUGGAGUAGGAAAAACCAAUAUCCCAGCAUCUGAUAAAAUCUUAAUAAUGAGCUGUAAACAAAAGAUGUCUGGAAAGUGACUGAAUGAACUAUUAUACUUUCUCCCUGUUGUUUGACAUCAUUUCAGAGUGAAAUUCUCUAAAAUCAAUGAUUUAAAAAAGGAUUUUGAAAAACAUGACUAGAUAAAGAUUAUCUCAAGCAUAGCAAACAAUUUGUGUACAUUUGUGCUAUUUUUAAAAUCAAAUUAUAUGUAUGUAAAUAUAUGCUUAUAACC